rnacentral:rRNA from 1 species
AUUGAACGCUGGCGGCAGGCUUAACACAUGCAAGUCGAACGAGUGGCGGACGGGUGAGUAAUGUCUGGGAAACUGCCUGAUGGAGGGGGAUAACUACUGGAAACGGUAGAUAAUACCGCAUACCAUAAGACGUGCCCAGAUGGGAUUAGGUUGUUGGAGGGGUAACGGCUCACCAAGGCGACGAUCCCUAGCGGGUCUGAGAGGAUGACCAGCCACACUGUAAUGAAGACAUGGUCCAGACGCCUACGGGAGGGAGCAGUGGGGAAUAUUGGACAAGGGGCGCAAGCCUGAUGCAGCCAUGCCGCGUGUAUGAAGAAGGCCUUCGGGUUGUAAAGUACUUUCAGCGGUGAGGCGUUACCCGCAGAAGAAGCACCGGCUAACUCCGUGCCAGCAGCCGCGGUAAUAC